rnacentral:rRNA from 1 species
AUUGAACGCUGGCGGAAUGCUUUACACAUGCAAGUCGAACGGUAGAGGGGGCAACCCCCUUGAGAGUGGCGAACGGGUGAGUAAUAUAUCGGAACGUGCCCAGUCGUGGGGAUAACGUAGCGAAAGUUACGCUAAUACCGCAUACGAUCUAAGGAUGAAAGCGGGGGAUCGCAAGACCUCGCGCGAUUGGAGCGGCCGAUAUCAGAUUAGGUAGUUGGUGAGGUAAAGGCUCACCAAGCCAACGAUCUGUAGCUGGUCUGAGAGGACGACCAGCCACACUGGAACUGAGACACGGUCCAGACUCCUACGGGAGGCAGCAGUGGGGGAAUUUUUGGACAAUGGACGCAAGUCUGAUCCAGCCAUUCCGCGUGCAGGAUGAAGGCCCUCGGGUUGUAAACUGCUUUUUGUACGGAACGAAAAGGUUUGUCUUAAUACGAUGAGCUCAUGACGGUACCGUAAGAAUAAGCACCGGCUAACUACGUGCCAGCAGCC